GGGCGGUUAGCUCAGUUGGUUAGAGUACUUGCUCGACACGCAAGGGGUCACAGGUUCGAAUCCUGUACCGCCCA
rnacentral:tRNA from 2 species